UACGUAGGGUGCGAGCGUUAAUCGGAAUUACUGGGCGUAAAGCGUGCGCAGGCGGUUCUCCAAGUCCGUUGUGAAAGCCCCGGGCUCAACCUGGGAAUGGCAGUGGAAACUAGGGGACUGGAAUCUGGCAGAGGGGGGUGGAAUGCCGCGUGUAGCAGUGAAAUGCGUAGAGAUGCGGAGGAACACCGAUGGCGAAGGCAGCCCCCUGGGCUGAGAUUGACGCUCAGGCACGAAAGCGUGGGGAGCAAACAGG
rnacentral:rRNA from 1 species